GAUGAACGCUGGCGGCGUGCCUAAUACAUGCAAGUCGAGCGAAUGGAUUAAGAGCUUGCUCUUAUGAAGUUAGCGGCGGACGGGUGAGUAACACGUGGGUAACCUGCCAUAAGACUGGGAUAACUCCGGGAAACCGGGGCUAAUACCGGAUAACAUUUUGAACCGCAUGGUUCGAAAUUGAAAGGCGGCUUCGGCUGUCACUUAUGGAUGGACCCGCGUCGCAUUAGCUAGUUGGUGAGGUAACGGCUCACCAAGGCAACGAUGCUUAGCCGACCUGAGAGGGUGAUCGGCCACACUGGGACUGAGAAACGGCCCAGACUCCUACGGGAGGCAGCAGUAGGGAAUCUUCCGCAAUGGACGAAAGUCUGACGGAGCAACGCCGCGUGAGUGAUGAAGGCUUUCGGGUCGUAAAACUCUGUUGUUAGGGAAGAACAAGUGCUAGUUGGAUAAGCUGGCACCUUGACGGUACCUAACCAGAAAGCCACGGCUAACUACGUGCCAGCCGCCGCGGUAA
rnacentral:rRNA from 1 species